rnacentral:lncRNA from 1 species
AGCUGCGCGCCCACCUGAGCUGCUUGCGCCGAGGUGCGGCGUGGCGGGGCCGCGCGCUCCCGGCCGCCAGGGGUGUGGCCGCUGGGAGGCCGCGACAGGUGGGUGCGCGGAGGUCUGGGCCCGGGAGAGGCCGCGUGCUGCGGGGCGGGGUCCGGUCACCCAAUCCGCGGGCGGCCGAAGGUCUCGGGCGCUCUCAGGUGAAGUCUUGCGGCGGCUGGGCUGUGAGGGCGUGCACCCAGCAGCCUUCCCUGCCUCUGCCUCUGCCCCUGCUUCAGUCUCCAGGUCCGAGAUGGAAGUGUGGAUUCGCCUUCUCUGAGUGCCUGACGUGGCGUCUGGAGGGUGCUGUUCAAGUAGAAGCGCUGGAGGGAAAGCGUA